rnacentral:rRNA from 1 species
UACAUAGGGGGCGAGCGUUGUCCGGAAUGACUGGGCGUAAAGGGAGUGUAGGCGGUUAUGCAAGUUACAUGUGAAAGCCCAGGGCUUAACUCUGGAACUGCAUGUAAAACUGCAUAACUAGAGUGUGGGAGAGGAAAGUGGAAUUCCUAGUGUAGCGGUGGAAUGCGUAGAUAUUAGGAGGAACACCAGUGGCGAAGGCGGCUUUCUGGACCACAACUGACGCUGAGGCUCGAAAGCGUGGGGAGCAAAC